UAGUAUGAAUAUAAAAUCAAACCGUGUUUCAAGUGCGUUCACAUUCUGUUAAUAAAUGAGAUACAAACACUGUAGAAUUGAUAAGAAAUGAACAAUGAGCAGUUUCUGGAUUUUACUUUUCAUCUUCAGCACCAUGUACACACUCCAUCCUGGUAGACACUGGGUUACUGCACAAUCUCUAACAAAGCCACCAGUUUAUCAGCCUGAUAAAGAGCUCAAUGUGAAUAUCGGAGACUCGGCGACUCUACAGUGUUGUAUUUCUGAAAAUAGAGAUGGAAUAAUUACAUGGUUUAAGCAACCAACGAGAGAAAAACCUCAGAUUGUAGUCACAGUGUAUAAAAGUGGUGGAGAAACUUUUCACACUGGAUUCCAAAAAUCUCGUUUUCGAAUAGAAAGAUAUUCAAACUGCUGCAAUAUCACAAUUUUAAAAAUAACUCAGUCUGAUGAAGCCAUGUACUACUGUGCAAUGACAAGAUUCAACAUUGUGUUUGGAGAUGGAACUUAUUUACAAAUUAAAGGAGAAGAAAACCUGAAACCUCAAGAUCUAACACUGCUGUAGAAGAUUCUCCAGCAACGAUGCAGGAAUCUGAAGCUGAAUCACUGAAUUAUGCGGCUUUGCAAUUCUCCAAGAGGAAAACCAAAGCUGAAAAGAGAAAACCCGUCUCAUCAGAUGAGUGUGUGUACUCUGAUGUGAAGAAAUCUGUAAGAUAACAUAAAUGUCUCAUGGUCAAACACAUGGUACUAUUACACAAAGAUAACCUUUUAGCAAAGAAAAAUAUCUCGACUAGAGUGAAAUAUAAUCCUUAAUUAUCAUUACGAGUUAGAAAUCUACAAUAAUGUCAAGUCUUAAAAUUUUCACAAUGAUUUCUUUCAAAUGUCCAGAUCUUACAUUUUACCAACAGUAAAUCAAAGAAGAAAAAAAAAUUAUGAUUUUUUUA